rnacentral:tRNA from 1 species
GGAUUGUGGCUCAGCGGUAGAGCGCUCCCUUAGCACAGGUGGGACUCGGGUUCGAUUCUCAGCACCA